rnacentral:SRP_RNA from 1 species
AGCCUGCAGCAAUAUGAAAGCAAGCAGAGCUGAGGAUGGUAAACAGAACAGGGCACGCCUCGGCUCCGGGCAGCGCGUGAGCAGCG